AUUUUUAUAUUUAAUUACGAUAUAAUGUAAAGAUGGUAAUUUCGCGGUGUUAAUACUGGUAGAAGAAUAAUUUCUUGAUUACUCAUUAUCCAAAGAGUCAAUAACUCUUGUCGGUUAAAUUACUUUUUUAUUUUUACACCUUCUGUGUAUUUAAUCUAUAUUUCAGAUUUUUUUUAAAUUUUAAUAUGCAGGGUAGAAAUGAAAAAAGUUGAAGAUAUAAAUAAGUUCCUUUUUGAAAGAUGUAAUAUGAAAUCGCAUUUUUUAUUUUUCAAGUGAAAGAAAAGUGACUCGUUUCUUUUACUGUAUCGAGGAUAGAAAUUCUUUUAUCACAGAAGUGUUUUCAGCUUUCCGUGUUAUUAAUAUUUUAAAAUAAUAAUGACCUUUCAGUCUAUUCAGUAAAUUGAUCUCAUUAAUAUAUAACUUCAUUAUGGGGCUAUCUUUGAUUAGCAGAUAAUAGACGGACAAUUAUCAUUUCCUUUUUGUGCCUCGCAGGACAUAAAAUUUAAUCAUCCUCGAUAUUCGUGCCACGGAAUUUCAAUUAACCACGGUGUACUCUUGCAUUAGCUCGUUAAUUGAAUAUGCGAGGAAAAUUCACAGCAUUGAUUGUUCCAUAAUUCUUGAAACUUGAUUUCAAUCAACAGUUGUGCGAAUGAUAGAAACAAUAUCACUUAAUUAUUCUCUAUUUUUAAAUACUAAUUUUUAUUUUAAGCAAUAUUUUAGCUUUAAAAUCAAUUCUAUAUUUAUACUAUGGUAUUUUACAAAUUGUUUUAUUAAUCAUUAAGAUAAAAUUAAUCGGUCAUUCACACUUUAAUACCUCUAAUUAACGUUUAAUGUUAUUCUAACAAGAAUAGCUGUUCCUAGCUAGCUUUUCGAUCGCUUUCAAUGACAUUAGUCUAUAAUUUACGCGGCAUUGUUUCUUGAUACUCUAUUUUCGCCGUUUCUUUAUGUGUAUUCACAAUUCUGCGUAUUGAAAUUCGUACAUUAAAUUACUUUCGGACACAAUUGUUUCGGAACAGGUAUUGUUUCUUCAUUUUCUGUCAGAUGAUUGGGCAUGAAAAAGUUAUUUCAAGGAAUGUAGAAAUUUGAAGACAAGUACAGAAUGAAAUCGAACUUAUUGAUCGAUCUUCCGAUAUUUCUAAAUGUAUAUUCUCUAUUCGUUGUAACAUUUUUAUUAUAUACUAAUAUUUUCUUCAACACUUUCCAGAAUAUCAUCUACCCUCAAAGAAAGAAGACAACGUAAAGAACCACAUGGAACAAUGGAUACAAAUAUUAAUGAAUCUUUCUACGAUUGAAACGAUUUCACAGAUAUCUUUCAAAAGAAUUAAUACAUUUUACAGCAAUUGAAGGAUCAGGUUUUUAUACAAUAUAGACUAAAGUACCACUUGUAAGAAUACUCGAACUGUUAUACAUUUUCAUGCAUUAAUUAAUCAAGCAAUCAAUGAAAAUUUACAGACGAUCGAGGAAAAACAGAAAUAAAGAAAAAAGGGGACACGAGUGUACCUGUAACAGGUGAACCUAAGUAUGCUGACAAGUAUUUGGCGGUCGAUCAGCGAACUGCGAAGGGAAGAAAACCUUUUCCACGGCGAACUUCAAUAAAUCAAGGGAAACAGCGAUCGAGCAAGGAACGCGACUCGCAUGAAUGGAGCCAGCGGACACACGAGGGUGGAAAGGAGGUAGUGAGCGAGAGAAUGGGUGAAACAGAGAGGGUAGCAAAGAAGAGGAAGGAGGUCAAGAGUGGAACGAAGAGAAACUGGUGAAUGAACGAGGGAGCCGGAUUCACUAACCUGCUAGUCCACGCAGUCCGGAAACCGAGGAGCAACUGAGAGAGAUAUUAUGCUGCUACUACUGCGUAGGAAUAAUGCAACUCUUUGAUUGCAAUGACUGAACGGAUCUAUUGAAUGCCAUGAAUCGAUGUUUGAUAUUACAUACAAGAAGAUAAGAGAAUUUUUCGUUACAUUAUGUUGACUGUGCUGAUUGAAUAUCGAAGGGAAAAUGUCAUUGACGUAGGUUUCAACAGAAAAUGAACGUACAAUUAUAUUUAGCUUAGUAGCUAUUUUUUAUCAUGCAAACUCGAGGAUGGCUCAAGCUUACGGCUAAGUUCCGGUCCGCCUGCGCAACAAGUUUCUCCCUGGGACUUAAAAUCGUUGUAGCCCGCAUCCUCAGCCUAAAUGAGAAAUAGUUGCGCCGUUGAAGAACCUGCUUUAUCAAAAAUCAAUGUCCAAUUUGUGUCUGAUUUUAUGAAAACAAAAUAAGUGUGUAUAUUCGUUGGAAACUUGAUUGGCUGACUACCUACAGGAUCAAUCUACUCGCCUCCUCCUUUAGGCAGUGGGUGAGUGUCGCUAGCAACGUACGGGCAGGGCCUGGCUGUUUGCGCUCGCUCCAGCUACAGCCUCCGCCAUUCUGUUGCUACAGGGCACACUUAGAGGCUCUGGCAUCAGCUACCAUGCCACCGCCUCAUUGGACCGUUGUUGGGUCUGAUUAGCUUGAGCGGCCAGCGCAGGGGAUUCUAUUCUGGCAACAACGACUUGGCCAGCCCAGAUGGCGUACAGCGUAGCGUAGAACUGAUAUCCAGUAUGUAGGAGGUAAAGUAGACCCCGAUUUGGCCCGGACUGGCCCUUCACGGAAUUGACGUAUAGAGGCACGCGUCGCAGCCAGCGCAGACAAUGCAAACCAGUGCACCACCGAACAAACAGGCGGCGGGCACCCCCAAUUUGCUUUGCAUUACCCGGCGUGGGCCUGCGCGCAAUGUGCCUCUGCAAUACAAACAAAGAUCCAACCGCGUUAGGUACAUGUUUACCUCAUUAUCUUCCUGUAUGUUCAAUAUGAAUUUUGCAUUACUAUUGAUUUUUUUCUUUGAUUUUUGGUCUUUAGCUGAAUUCUGAUAAUCAUAGAGAGUCGAAUUUAUGAAAGAAAGAAUGCAUUUACUAGUACAUUGUCUUUAUACAAUUUCGGCAAGCGCGUUUUUAUUUCAAUUGCAAUAUCAGAAUGUGAAAAUCUCAAUGAUUACAGUUGGCAUACAAUGCUGUAUUAGGAUUCUACGAAACCAUUCAACUAUUUAAUUGAAAAAGAAAGAAAAGAAAUUAAUACCCAAGGUUUUCAUUUCAACUUACAAUUAGUUUCUUUUUACAACUUUGAAAUUGAUUUGAAUUCUUCUGAAAUAUACAAAGUGCUUUUAUACCUUCAUAAAUGAAUAGCUUGCCGACCAUAUUUAAUAUGAGUUUAAAUUCAUUUUAUUUUCAUGUAUUAUUGAAAAAUUAUUACCUUCAGCAAAGUGAGGAAGCAAAUAAACACAAAUAUUAGAAAUGUUGCUUGAACCACAUUAUGUACUUAGAAUAUUAAAAUUGAUAUUUGAGGUUUAGUAAUGAUUUUUAAAAAAAUAUCAGAGACAUGACAAUAUUAAGAUUAUAAAUAAAGUGGUACAUAAAGUGAUUCAAGCAUAGAUCAAUGAAACCUUGUUCUGAUUAUUCUAAUAUAAAAAUCUUUUAAAAACAUUAGUACCAAUAAUAUGAAAAACACAAAUAAUAUAAUGCAUAUAGUUGUCUACUUUUUUCAACAUAUGUUGUGUCAGAACAAGGUAUCUUGUAAUGCAGUACUUAUUAAGCUCAAAUAAGACUGGUAGAAAUGUGUUUUAGAGCAAUUCAUUCUCCAUACGAAAGGAAAAUGAUCAAUGAUGUUUGAUCUUAUUAUUUUAUCGAAUCAUAAUAAUAAUC